AUACGUAGGGGGCGAGCGUUGUCCGGAAUGAUUGGGCGUAAAGGGCGCGUAGGCGGCGCGGUAAGUCUGGAGUGAAAGUCCUGCUUUCAAGGUGGGAAUUGCUUUGGAUACUGCCGCGCUUGAGUGCAGGAGAGGUUAUCGGAAUUCCCGGUGUAGCGGUGAAAUGCGUAGAGAUCGGGAGGAACACCAGUGGCGAAGGCGGGUAACUGGACUGCAACUGACGCUGAGGCGCGAAAGUGUGGGGAGCAAACAGGAUUAGAUACCCGGGUAGUCCACACUGUAACCGAUGAAUGCUAGGUGUAAGAGGUAUCGACCCCUUUUGUGCCGGAGUCAACACAAUAAGCAUUCCGCCUGGGGAGUACGGCCGCAAGGUUGAAACUCAAAGGAAUUGACGGGG
rnacentral:rRNA from 1 species